CGCCCGCGCCGGCCGCCGCCGCGCGUCCUGCGGGCUGACCGGUGCGUACCUCGCGCAGGAGUCCCGCCGCUACCUCUUCUCUGCCCCUGCCGCGACACCCUACGCCCGCCGCCACCCACGCCCCUUGCGCCUCCGAUCUUGUCUGGUCUCAAGCAAUCCUUCCAUCGGCGACGCGGGGCGGGAGUACAACGGUGUGUCCCAGGUGACGGCUUCUGCAGACUUCGAGCAUUGCGACUGUUCUUCUCCACAUCGAGAGCAAGCAGAAGAUAAAAUUCCCAUGUCUUCGCCUCUCACCAAAGAUUAUCCCGAGCAAGCAAAGGGUGAAGCGAACGGAGCCAGAGCUGCGGCAGCUUACCUGCGGGCAGAGUAUGGGCGUCGCUGGAGGCCGCCCUGUCGCUGAUACUCUGUUGCUGCAUCAUCCUGUUCAGGGCUCCUCUCCUAAUCCUUUUUUUUGUCAGAUAAACACAACGAUUUCAGCGGAGCUCUCGCAGCUAUGGAUGCCUUUAAUCCAAGAGUGGAUGAAUAUCUGCUGUCUACGCACACAAGGUGUUCGACUAUAUGGGUCAACCGCCAUAAUCACAUCUCAAAUGGUCACCGUCACUCACAGCAAGACCUGCAUCACUGCUCUCACCAGAAUAAUUAAGGCAAGGGCUCGUUGGGAAAAGAGGCAAGCAAAAGUCUUGAAAAAGUCAGAUAACGGAUGGUGAACUAAGAGAAUUCAGACACAGGCAGGUCUUGGAGCGAUGUCUGGGGAUCCCCACCACGAGAUCAAAACAAUGAGGAAGAAGCAUCGGAGAGAGCCAAGAGAGCGGCGGCUGCUGCCAGACGGUGGUGACAAUACUCAAGGCGAGGCGCAGACAGGCCUCCGACAUACAAGCUUCCAGAGGCAGUGGGCAACAAAGAUUAGUCCACUGAAUAGAGAAAACUUCUACCAUGGUUUGGCCAAAUCUGGUAAACCUUUACUGUACAGUGUCAUUGUUUGCAGAUGUGAUGCGAAGGUUCGCUUUGCCUUCCCAGUGAAUGAGUAGAGAUGGAAAUGGAUGGCUAAUGUUUUCUUUGUAGUUGGGUUUGACUCUCUUAACUGACGUUUAUGCCUUUAGAUACUGUUCCUAACAUUGGAUAUGUGAUAGUCUCCGCGGUUUCUGUGAAUUUAUGAUUAUUCUGCAAAAAGCAAAACAAAAAAAAGAAGUUCUUGCUCUGAUUGUGUCCUGAUUGGUAGAGAAGUGAUGAACUUUAAGCAAAAAUAUAGGCCAAUUUCACCUGUAGUGCUUGAGAAUACGAUUUAACCUGUGCCAUGGCUAGGUGCUCUUGUGGAGCUACCAAAUUUGACAUCCAUGGAAAAACUUGCUUCAUAUACAUUUUCUGACACCAUUCCAUAUAAACUUAGCUAAGCUACAGGUCCAAUCAUGCUUCAGUCUGAUUGUCUGUUAUUCAUUGCUGUUAUGUUCUGAAUGUCUGCUGCGUGGACGCUUCUCUUUCUGUUCUAUCAUCUCCUACAGGUAUUUCUAUCCACCCAAAAUAGUUUUCUGGGAAGCAUGAGGUGUGCACCAUACCCUGGCUUCAGUCUGAUUGUUUUAAUGUUCUCCUAUCUUCUAACUACUAGGAAUUUAAUGCAUUGAUCCCCCACAUUUGCAUCUAUCACUUGAAGCAUCACUUGCAAGACAUUGGGCAGCAAAAUAAUUCUGAGUUUUUACAUGUUUUACUGCUAUUAUUGGAUUCUGUGCGCCAGAUUGCCAUAAUUGUCAGUUUCAGCUUUUAAUGUUGCAUGCUUGACUAUACUGAAAUUUUGAUGGAGACUUCAUUUACUGUUCUUUCGUUCAAGUUGGUUAUUCUGAUCCCCUAGCUAUUUGAAAUAAUAUAUGUCUAAAUUAUGGACUCAGUCAUCUUGAUUUCACAAUUUAUUUGAGAGAUGUGCAGUAAGCGUAAGCUAUAUAUAGUAGUAUGCCCACUGUUGUGGACCUUCAAACAUUGUGUAAGUAGGUAAACUUGGCAUACAUCUUACCUAUUUGUUUCCUCUCUUAUGAAAGAACUACAGAUCUGAGUAUAUUUGGCUACAUUUAUUUCAGGUAACUGAUUACAUCUACAGCAUACUCUGUUCUACCUCCAGCUGUGAUCAUUGCUCUUGUGGUCAACUGCAAUUCGUCUGAUCUCAAGCUAGCAGUGAAACAUGUGGUAUGAAUCUCUGAUUGCAUUUAUUUCUACUGCAGCAUCUCUCACCACUUUCGGUCCCUAGGAUGCUGUUUUGAGCAGGAAAUGGCAAGCCUGAAGACAGAAACCAAGCAGUCCUUAAUUCUGCUCAUUAUAGUGCCUAUCCGUUGACUCUACAUGGAGCCAGAUUAUCGAAUCAACAAUAUCCAAGAUUCUUUCGCUAACAGCUUGCUCGACAUAUGUAUGCAGAAGCUUCUACCUUCCUGUACAUAUAGAUGAUUGCUGAGAAGGAUGAGAGGAGUUGCCUGAGCAGCUUACCCAUUCGAUCAUGAAAGUUCCACUUUGUAAGGUCGAUUUCACAUUUGAAUUUGAUGGGUGAUGGAUACAAGUAGAAUAUGCCAUAAAAAUAGCAAUGAUCAAUCAUAUGUAGAUCAUGCUAUUUAUCUUAUUAAUUAUAUUGGACGUAUGUCACCAAGAUAUAUCUUGGACAUAUUUGUCAAGAUACAAGCAUUCAGGAGAUAUUUCUACAA